rnacentral:rRNA from 1 species
GUAAGCUAAUCUCUUAAAACUUCUCUCAGUUCGGACUGGAGUCUGCAACUCGACUCCACGAAGGCGGAAUCGCUAGUAAUCGCGAAUCAGCAUGUCGCGGUGAAUACGUUCCCGGGUCUUGUACACACCGCCCGUCAAAUCAUGGGAGUCGGAAGUACCCAAAGUCGCUUGGCUAACUUUUAGAGGCCGGUGCCUAAGGUAAAAUCGAUGACUGGGAUUAAGUCGUAACAAGGUAGCCGUAGGAGAACCUGCGGCUGGAUCACCUCCUUUCUAAGGA